rnacentral:rRNA from 1 species
GUGCCAGCAGCCGCGGUAAUACGGGGGGGGCAAGCGUUGUUCGGAAUUACUGGGCGUAAAGGGCUCGUAGGCGGCCCACUAAGUCAGACGUGAAAUCCCUCGGCUUAACCGGGGAACGGCGUCUGAUACUGGAGGGCUUGAGUUCGGGAGAGGGAUGCGGAAUUCCAGGUGUAGCGGUGAAAUGCGUAGAUAUCUGGAGGAACACCGGUGGCGAAGGCGGCAUCCUGGACCGAGACUGACGCUGAGGAGCGAAAGCCAGGGGAGCAAACGGGAUUAGAUACCCUAGUAGUCC